UACGUAGGCGGAAAAUUAAGUCAGUAGUGAAAUCCCGCAGCUUAACUGUGGAACUGUUAUUGAUACUGGUUUUCUUGAAUAUAGUUGAGGUAGGCGGAAUGUGUAAUGUAGCGGUGAAAUGCUUAGAUAUUACGCAGAACACCGAUUGCGAAGGCAGCUUACUAAGCUAUGAUUGACGCUGAGGUACGAAAGCGUGGGGAGCGAACAGGAUUAGAUACCCUGGUAGUCC
rnacentral:rRNA from 1 species